UUAUCAUUUCACAUUCUGAUUAACCUUCUAACCGUCUCCCGAGAGAUUCGUCACAUACAGUUUCUUGUUUGUGAGCGUGGGGGUCCCUUAAUGGGUAAACUUGAAUGAUUUCUCGUCACUACCAAAGCGUAACACAGUUCAACGUCUUCUGUUAGUCUGUUGGAAACGCCUUUGUGGAUUGAUGGGGCAUUUCUCGUCUGUAAAUGAGUAGCUAAGGACACCCACCUGGGAAAAUGUUGAGAGCGAGGUAUUUACUGCUGUUUACGGUUGCUGCCUUAACCGCCCUAGACUCUGAUGCCUAUAGGGUACUCUUCAUCGGAGUACUUGGUACUAAAAGCCAUACGAACUUCUACAUAGGCAUCGUUAAAGCUCUUGCGGACAGCGGACACCACGUGACUUUCGUGACUGCAUACACGCAAGAAGAAUCGCGGAAGAAUCCGAACAUCACUGAAAUAUGGGUUCCCGAAGGAGACGCCAAUCGACUUAACCAGAACCGAUUCAACACGUCGACCAUCAGCUUGUAGCUCAGUUAGUAGAGUUGUACCUUUGUGCAUAGAAUCCCUGGGGAAUAACCAAGUACAGGGAUUGUUACGAGACGAAUUUGAUGUCGUCUUGUUGUCGCCAUUCAACGAUUGCUACCUCUCAAUCGUCUUCC